CGACUUUUUUCAAUACAAGCCCCGACUGGAUGCCUGCAAAAAGAAAAAAGCUCCUCCAAUCCUGCCAUUCGGCAGGCUAUGAUGAUCAUCAGCAACCGUGAGGCUACCAGUGCCUCCACUGAGUCUGAGACCUAAUCCUCAAGACAUGGUGCAAAGCUCCCGUGAGUCAGAAUUUGCAUCCUGAAUUAUGAAGUGAGAAAACCUUUACUGGACAAACAGCUGCUUGUGGAAUUCGAAGCUGGACAGUAGGUAUUGUAAAAUCAAAAAACGGAGACAACUCAAAUGUGAAUGAAGGAAAAAGAGACAGUUCAAGAAUGGAAAAGCUUUUGAAGCCAGACAGACUGAUGGGGGGAAAAAAUACAAUUCGCCAAAAUCUGUAUCAGUGAAUGAUUAAUUAAUUUCUGUUGAAUGAUCUGUUCUAGCCUUGCGAGAUAUCAGUUCCCAUUUCUUUAACACUUUUACAUAAGAUCUCCAGAGACGGCUAGUUCAAAAGACGGUUCAAUUUAGAGUUCCCAUCGGAAAUGGUUUCAGAAAGUCUUUGCCAUACGUUGGGCUUUGAUGUGUUUAAACUGUCGUAAUCUUACUGUUC